CCUACGGGUGGCAGCAGUGAGGAAUAUUGGUCAAUGGACGGAAGUCUGAACCAGCCAUGCCGCGUGCAGGAUGACGGCUCUAUGAGUUGUAAACUGCUUUUGUACGAGGAUAAACGCUGAUACGCGUAUCUGUCUGAAUGUAUCGUACGAAUAAGGAUCGGCUAACUCCGUGCCAGCAGCCGCGGUAAUACGGAGGAUUCAAGCGUUAUCCGGAUUUAUUGGGUUUAAAGGGUGCGUAGGCGGUCGGAUAAGUUAGAGGUAAAAUGCCGGGGCUUAACCUCGUCAUUGCCUCUGAUACUGUUCGACUAGAGAGUGGAUGCGGCAGGCGGAAUGAGUGGUGUAGCGGUGAAAUGCUUAGAGAUCACACAGAACACCGAUUGCGAAGGCAGCUUACCAAGCCACAUCUGACGUUGAUGCACGAAAGCGUGGGUAGCGAACAGGAUUAGAUACCCGGGUAGUC
rnacentral:rRNA from 1 species